AAAAACAUCACCUCCAGCAUUCCCAGUAUUGGAGGCAUUGCCUGCCCAGUGACAACUGUUUAACGGCCGCGGUAUCCUGACCGUGCAAAGGUAGCAUAAUCAUUUGUUCUCUAAAUAAGGACUUGUAUGAAUGGCCGCACGAGGGUUUUACUGUCUCUUACUUCCAAUCAGUGAAAUUGACCUUCCCGUGAAGAGGCGGGAAUGCACAAAUAAGACGAGAAGACCCUAUGGAGCUUUAACUAACCAACCCAAAGAGAAUAAAUUUAACCAUUAAGGAGUAACAACAAUCUCCAUGAGUUGGUAGUUUCGGUUGGGGUGACCUCGGAGAAUAAAAAACCCUCCGAGCGAUUUUAAAGACUAGACCCACAAGUCAAAUCACUCUAUCGCUCAUUGAUCCAAAAACUUGAUCAACGGAACAAGUUACCCUAGGGAUAACAGCGCAAUCCUAUUCAAGAGUCCAUAUCGACAAUAGGGUUUACGACCUCGAUGUUGGAUCAGGACAUCCUGAUGGUGCAACCGCUAUCAAAGGUUCGUUUGUUCAACGAUUAAAGUCCUACAUGAUCU
rnacentral:rRNA from 1 species